rnacentral:rRNA from 1 species
GACGAACGCUGGCGGCGUGCUUAACACAUGCAAGUGGAGCGACGAACCAGGGCUUGCCCUGGGGCAGAGCCGCGAACGGGUGAGUAACACGUGGGUAACCUGCCCAGAUGACCGGGACAACCCGAUGAAACUCGGGCUAAUACCGGAUGUGCUGUCCCCACAUCAGUGGGGUUAGGAAAGGUAGCUUCGGCUUCCGCAUCUGGAUGGGCCCGCGGCCCAUUAGCUUGUUGGUGAGGUAACGGCUCACCAAGGCUUCGAUGGGUAGCUGGUCUGAGAGGACGAUCAGCCACGCUGGGACUGAGACACGGCCCAGACUCCUACGGGAGGCAGCAGUGGGGAAUCUUGCGCAAUGCGCGAAAGCGUGACGCAGCAACGCCGCGUGCGGGAAGACGGCCUUCGGGUUGUAAACCGCUUUCAGUUGGGACGAAGCCUUUGCGGUUAAUAACCGUGGAAGGUGACGGUACCUUCAGAAGAAGCCCCGGCUAACUACGUGCCAGCCGCCGCAGUAA